rnacentral:rRNA from 1 species
ACGCUCGACACCUACGGAGGCAGCAGUGGGGAAUAUUGCACAAUGGGGGAAACCCUGAUGCAGCGACGCCGCGUGGAGGAAGAAGGUCUUCGGAUUGUAAACUCCUGUUGUUGGGGAAAAAGAGGAUGGUACCCAACAAGGAAGUGACGGCUAACUACGUGCCUGCAGCCGCGGUAAUCUGAGGCGGGCUGGCAAGGC